AUGGCAGAUCACCAGGAGAUGAUCCACGCCGCGGCGGCGCCGGCCAUGUACGGCGGCGGCGGCGUGGCAGCGGGUGGUGCUACGACGACGACGGGGAGCCACGGCGGCGGCGGCGGCGACUGGUGGAGCGCCGCGGUGUCGUCGUGCUCGGCGCCGGCGCCGGAGACGAUGCAAGGGUUCGGCGGCUGGUCGGCCGCGGUGGUGGCCGUCGACGGCGGUGGCAACACGUCGAGGUCAGCUGCUGGUAACACUGCUUCGUCGGAGUCGCCUGGAUCGCUCGCCACCGGAAGCUCCAUCACUUUCCAGGAGCCCGCCGGCGGAGUCGCCGACCCGGCCGCCAUCGCCGUGCACGCGCAGACGGUGGCCGGCGGCGGCGGCGGCGGCGGCUGGAAUCAGCAGCCUUUCUUUUCCUCUCCAAACCUCGGCUUCGAGCUGCUCUCGUCGCCGACCUCGCCGUACGGCGGCGGUGGCGGCUUCCGCUCCUCGCUGCUCAGAAGCCUCACGGAGCCGGCGGCGGCGGCGAAGCCUAAUGACUCGCCGGGGUUUCAGCAGUAUCAUCAUCAUCAGCCGGCGAUGAACCUGCAGCCGCCGGCCGCCGCCGCCGGGAGAGAGCCACUGCAGUUCACCAACAGCACGGCGGCGCCGUUUUGGAACCCUUCCUCCGGGUUCACCGUCGCGGCGGAGGGUACAGCACUAGGUGGUGCCGGAGCAUCGCCGGCGCAGCCUACGCCGGCGAGCCUUGCAGCUAAGGCGAAGGCUGAUUCCACGCCACUAAAGAAAUCCAGAACCGGGACGCCAUCGGCAUUGCCGACGACCUUCAAGACGGACACGGCAUCGGUGCUCCACGAGACAAUCGAGUACAUCAAGUUCCUGCACGAUCAAGUUGGUGCGCUUAGUGCUCCUUACCUAAAGAACAGGCAACAAGUGCCCCACUUGAAGAACUCCACCGGCGUCGACAACGAUGGCGGCGGCGGCGGCGAGGCGACGGCGGCGAGCAAGAGAGACCUCACCGGAAGAGGGCUGUGCCUGGUCCCGAUAUCGAGCACCUUCGCCGUCGCCAGCGAGACGCCGGUCGAUUUCUGGACGCCGUUCGGUGCAGCCUUCCGGUAGCUCGAUCGAUCGCUAAUUAACUACUACUACUACCACCAAGCUAAUUGCUCUGUUUUACAAUCCUCUGUUUCACAAUAUAAGUCAUUUUAAUAUUUUUCAUAUUCAUAUUGAUAUUAAUGAAUCUAGAUUGAUAUAUAUGUCUAGAUUCAUUAGCAUCAAUAUAAAUGUGAGAAAUUUUAGAAUGACGUACAUUGUAAAACGGAGGGAGUAGCUAGCUAGCUUGAGAUCAGCCAGAGCUCAGCUUAAUUAACUACUAAUAAUUAACUAGAAAUGCUUCACACAAAAAGCUAGCUAUAUAUCUAGCUAGAUUGCUAAUUAAGUUAUAUGCUCACACCCAUAUAUAUGAUGGCAAUAUAUAGCUAGCAACAGCUCCUACUGUUGCAUAUAUAUAGCAGAUACACACAUUGCAUACCCUAAUUAAUUAUUAACCGAUCGCAACUAAUAGUACUGAACUAAUCAAAAUAGUACUACUAGCUAGUACUAGUAAGAAUGAAUGCGUAUAAUAUAUGCUGUAACUGAAUUAGGUAUAUAUAUAUAUA
rnacentral:lncRNA from 1 species